AGUAGGAUAAGCUAAGCACACUGUUGGUUAUGUGUGCCCAAGCAUUGAGGCAGUCAAAGCAGGCAAAUCCGCUUUGAUAAUGCUGGGAUGUGAUGGGGAGCGAAAUUUAGUAGCGAAGUAGCUGAUUUCACACUGUCAAGAAAAGUCUCUAUCGAGGUUAAAGGUACCCGUACCGCAAACCGACACAGGUGGGUGAGGAGAGUAUCCUAAGGCCAGCGAGAGAACUGUUGUUAAGGAACUCGGCAAAAUGACCCCGUAACUUAGGGAUAAGGGGUGCCACCAUCCGGUGGCCGCAGAGAAUAGGCCCAAGCGACUGUUUACCAAAAACAUAGGUUUCUGCUAAGUCGCAAGACGAUGUAUAGGAGCUGACGCCUGCCCGGUGCUGGAAGGUUAAGGGGAUCUGUUAGAGCAAUCGAAGCAGUGAACUUAAGCCCCAGUAAACGGCGGCCGUAACUAUAACGGUCCUAAGGUAGCGAAAUUCCUUGUCGGGUAAGUUCCGACCCGCACGAAAGGCGUAACGAUUUGGGCACUGUCUCAACAACAGACUCGGUGAAAUUGUAAUUCCGGUGAAGAUGCCGGAUACCUGCGACAGGACGGAAAGACCCCAUGGAGCUUUACUGUAGCUUGACAUUGGGUCUUGGUACUACAUGUACAGGAUAGGUGGGAGGCUUUGAAACCAGGACGCCAGUUUUGGCGGAGCCAUCCUUGGGAUACCACCCUUGUAGUACUGGGACUCUAACCAUAGGCCAUGAAUCUGGUCUUGGGACACUGUCAGGUGGGCAGUUUGACUGGGGCGGUCGCCUCCCAAAAGGUAACGGAGGCGCUCAAAGGUUCUCUCAGUACGGUCGGAAAUCGUACGUAGAGUGUAAAGGCAAAAGAGAGCUUGAUUGCAAGACAUACAGGUCGAGCAAGGAUGAAAAUCGGACUUAGUGAUCCGGUGGUUCUGCGUGGAAGGGCCAUCGCUCAACGGAUAAAAGCUACCCUGGGGAUAACAGGCUUAUCUCCCCCAAGAGUCCACAUCGACGGGGAGGUUUGGCACCUCGAUGUCGGCUCAUCACAUCCUGGGGCUGUAGUAGGUCCCAAGGGUUGGGCUGUUCGCCCAUUAAAGUGGUACGCGAGCUGGGUUCAGAACGUCGUGAGACAGUUCGGUCCCUAUCCGUCGCAGGCGUAGGAAAUUUGAGAAGACCUGUCCUUAGUACGAGAGGACCGGGAUGGACG
rnacentral:rRNA from 1 species